GGUGAACGCUGGCGGCGUGCUUAAGACAUGCAAGUCGAACGGCAGUCUUCGGACUGUAGUGGCGCACGGGUGAGUAACGCGUAACUGACCUACCCCAAAGUCGCGGAUAACGAUUCGAAAGAAUCGCUAAUACGUGAUGUGCUGUCAGAUUGUGUUCUGCCAGUAAAGAUUGAUUGCUUUGGGAUGGGGUUGCGUUCCAUCAGCUAGUUGGUGGGGUAAAGGCCCACCAAGGCGACGACGGAUAGCCGGCCUGGGAGGGUGGCCGGCCACAGGGGCACUGAGACACGGGUCCCACUCCUACGGGAGGCAGCAGUUAGGAAUCUUCCACAAUGGUCGAAAGCCUGAUGGAGCGACGCCGCGUGAGGGAUGAAGGUCUUCGGAUCGUAAACCUCUGAAUCAGGGACGAAAGACACUUCGGUGGGAUGACGGUACCUGAGUAAUAGCACCGGCUAACUCCGUGCCAGCCGCCGCCGUAAGAC
rnacentral:rRNA from 1 species